rnacentral:rRNA from 1 species
GAUGAACGCUGGCGGCGUGCUUAACACAUGCAAGUCGAACGAAGCAUUUGCGACAGAUUUUUUCGGAAUGAAGUUGCUUAUGACUGAGUGGCGGACGGGUGAGUAACGCGUGGGUAACCUGCCUUGUACUGGGGGAUAGCAGCUGGAAACGGCUGGUAAUACCGCAUAAGCGCACAAUGUUGCAUGACAUGGGUGGAAAACUCCGGGGGGAUUAGAUGGAACCGGGUCUGAUUAGCUAGUUGGUGGGAUAACAGCCCACCAAGGCGACGAUCAGUAGCCGAGCUGAGAGGGUGACCGGCCACAUUGGGACUGAGACACGGCCCAGACUCCUACGGGAGGCAGCAGUGGGGAAUAUUGCACAAUGGAGGAAACUCUGAUGCAGCGACGCCGCGUGAGUGAAGAAGUAAUUCGUUAUGUAAAGCUCUAUCAGCAGGGAAGAUAGUGACGGUACCUGACUAAGAAGCUCCGGCUAAAUACGUG